UACAGAGGGUGCAAACGUUGCUCGGAAUCAUUGGGCGUAAAGCGCACGUAGGCGGUCCACCAAGUAGGGAGUGAAAGCCCUCGGCUUAACCGAGGAAGUGCUUUCUAAACUAGUGGACUUGAAUACUGGAGAGGGUCGCGGAAUUCCCGGUGUAGCGGUGAAAUGCGUAGAUAUCGGGAAGAACACCAACGGCGAAAGCACUCUGCUGGGCCGAAAAACUGACACUGAUAGACGAAAGCUAGGGGAGCAAAUGGG
rnacentral:rRNA from 1 species